CCCCGGGGACGACCCCGGCGCAAGGAAACACAACGGCGGGACGGCCCGC
rnacentral:ncRNA from 1 species